GAUGAACGCUAGCUACAGGCUUAACACAUGCAAGUCGAGGGGCAGCGCAGUGUAGCAAUACAUGGGCGGCGACCGGCGCACGGGUGCGUAACGCGUAUCCAACCUUCCCGUUACUUAGGGAUAGCCUUCCGAAAGGGAGAUUAAUACCUGAUGGUGUUUGAAUUUCGCAUGUUAUUCAAACUAAAGAUUUAUCGGUAACGGAUGGGGAUGCGUGACAUUAGAUAGUAGGCGGGGUAACGGCCCACCUAGUCUACGAUGUCUAGGGGUUCUGAGAGGAAGGUCCCCCACACUGGAACUGAGACACGGUCCAGACUCCUACGGGAGGCAGCAGUGAGGAAUAUUGGUCAAUGGUCGGAAGACUGAACCAGCCAAGUAGCGUGAAGGAUGAAGGUUCUAUGGAUUGUAAACUUCUUUAUACGGGAAUAAAACCUCCCACGUGUGGGAGCUUGUAUGUACCGUAUGAAUAAGCAUCGGCUAACUCCGUG
rnacentral:rRNA from 1 species